CGGGGUCGUGGGGGUCGUCGGGGGUCAUCGGGGGCUUCUCCUCCAUCGUCGGGGGUUUUCUUGGGCCGGCAGGGAGAGAGAGCGGCGAGGGAUUUGGGGACGGUAUAGUUUUGUUUUGGGUGGAGAGAAACAGAGGGGAGAAAGAUAGGGGGAUUACUUCACCUUUUUGGUUUUGGUCUUGGUUUUCCUUCCCUCACGUUACUGCUGAUCCAGCUGGGCCAUCGGGAAGAAAGAUAGGGGGAUUGGAGAGAUUAUGUUAUGUGAAAAUCACCUUUUCAAUAGCUUCAUUCGGUCCCUUUGGACCAGGGCUAUUUGAGGAUGAGAGUGGAUCCUCAGUUGACGGUUACAUCAAAUUGGACUAUCGAUGUUUCAGAUUCCAUGUAGAUCCAUCUCUUGUUCCUCAACAAAGCAUGGUUAUUCAAAUUGGCGCCAACGAGUAGGAUCUCUUAGUAAGAAGGAUAUUGUGUCCUUUUUUACUGAAAUUUGUAUUUGAUCUAACAUUAUAUCUAUCAGUUUCCUAUGACUUCCCGUCACUAUUUUAAUAAUUUUCCCCAAGAAAGCUCAUUUUCAAUAGUUUUAAUAAUGCAAAUUACUCGCUAACAUGUUCCAAUCUCAGGAAAAGAAAUUUUACAAAUAACCUUCAUGUCCUUCAUAUUUUUCUAAUAUACAAUCUGGAAGAUUUUGGGUGCACCAUUUCAGUUCUUUAUGGAUGCAGGGAGCAACUAUAGCUGAUUUUUGUGUCAGCAUUACGCCAGUUGAGGAUUACCAGCUUCCUCCUGAAGCUUACCAGCAUGAGAUGGAGCGUGAGGAGAUGCGGAGGCAAUUGGAGCAGGAGAGGAGAGAGCGUGAGGAGGAAAGAAAAGAGCGAGAGAAAGAACAGAAGCAAAUUGCAAAUCUUACAAGUUUGGUGACAGAGUUCUUAAAGAAAAAGACUCAAAUGCACAAGUCAUCUAUCCAUCAUGAUGGGGCCAUGUAUUCAACUGGUGGUACAAAUACUCAUUGAUACAUGGUGGAGUUAUGAGCAUGUGAAAUCUAGUUUUUGGUACAUGGAUAGCUUUUGUUCAGAUGAUCAUGGUGGAGUUGUCUACAAGCAGAAUCCAGUUUUUGAUAUAAGAAUAUUUUUGUCUACAUAAUGGUUGUUUAGAUGAAUAGCAAGAUCAUAUAUUUUGGAAUUUUUAAUUUACAUUUUGAUGUAUUUGGUGAUAAUUAUCACCUUAACAUGAAACAUUGUGAUGUAUGGUAUUAAUAGGUAUGCUUGACUUUAGACUUAUAGAUGAUGAUAUUUAUAAUGAAUGAUUAUGGAUUCUCCAACAUUGUGUA